rnacentral:rRNA from 1 species
UACGAAGGGGGCUAGCGUUGCUCGGAUUUACUGGGCGUAAAGGGCGCGUAGGCGGGUGUCUAAGUCAGAGGUGAAAGCCCAGGGCUCAACCCUGGAAUUGCCUUUGAUACUGGACGUCUUGAGUACGGGAGAGGUGAGUGGAACUCCGAGUGUAGAGGUGAAAUUCGUAGAUAUUCGGAAGAACACCAGUGGCGAAGGCGACUCACUGGCCCGUUACUGACGCUGAGGCGCGAAAGCGUGGGGAGCAAACAGG